CGUGUAGGCGGGCUGGAAAGUUGGGGGUGAAAUCCCGAGGCUCAACCUCGGAACUGCCUCCAAAACUUCCAGCCUGGACUCAAGCAGAGGCAAGUGGAAUUGCGAGUGUAGAGGUGAAAUUCGUAGAUAUUCGCAGGAACACCAGUGGCGAAGGCGACUUGCUGGGCUUGUAGUGACGCUGAGACGCGAAAGCGUGGGAGCAAACA
rnacentral:rRNA from 1 species